ACUCGUUAAGGCUGAGCUGUGAUGGGGAGAAGACAUUGUGUCUUCGAGUCGUUGAUUUCACACUGCCGAGAAAAGCCUCUAGAUAGAAAAUAGGUGCCCGUACCGCAAACCGACACAGGUAGUCAAGAUGAGAAUUCUAAGGUGAGCGAGCGAACUCUCGUUAAGGAACUCGGCAAAAUGACCCCGUAACUUCGGGAGAAGGGGUGCUCUUUAGGGUUAACGCCCAGAAGAGCCGCAGUGAAUAGGCCCAAGCGACUGUUUAUCAAAAACACAGGUCUCUGCUAAACCGUAAGGUGAUGUAUAGGGGCUGACGCCUGCCCGGUGCUGGAAGGUUAAGAGGAGUGGUUAGCUUCUGCGAAGCUACGAAUCGAAGCCCCAGUAAACGGCGGCCGUAACUAUAACGGUCCUAAGGUA
rnacentral:rRNA from 1 species